UUCAUAUCUAUUAGACAAGGUGUUCACCUACGGGUGAACUUAAAAGGGAAACCGGUGAGAAUCCGGUGCGGUCCCGCCACUGUGAUGGGGAGCCGCGGCACAAAAACCACUGAGUCGUUGACUUGGGAAGGGUGCCGUCGGCCGUGAACCUAAGCCAGGAGACCUGCCUUGAUCGUGAACCACCA
rnacentral:ncRNA from 2 species